CACAUACAUACACACAUAUAAUCUAAGUAUAUUUUUUUUUUGUUUUUUUUACACUUAUAAACUUUUAUUUUAUUUGAAUUCAGCCAGCAGGGGGACCAACUGUCAUUACAGGCAGUCCCCCUGCUGGCAAUGCAGCAGGCAGCUAACCCUCAAUCUCACAUGGCUGGGGGGGCUGCAGGAGGUCGGAUGUGCCGCGGAGGAGUUCCCCCAACCACGAUCGCCGGCGACAGAGUAAAU